CUCGCUUAAACCUUGAACCAGAACUGUCAGUUCUAAAAUGGAACCAGCCCGGGCCAGCUCUUACAUGCUCAUGGCUCUUGAUGACACUUCUGAUUCACCUUCUUGCAAAUCUGCAUCAGCAGCCUCAGCAUUUUCCGUUGAUUCCUUCAGCUUAUAUUCUGCAAGGUAACGCUCCAAUGCACCAUCUCCACGAAGAAUUUUUCCGCCACAUCCAGGAGCAUUUACAGAACCUACAGAUUCAUCAUCAACUACAACAGCAUCUACUCUAUUACUACCUGUUUUCAAAUCAGGAAUCUCAUACAUGGCUUCAGUUAGGAUACUCUCUAGUAUGGCUCUUAAAC
rnacentral:misc_RNA from 1 species